UUAAGUGACUAAGCGUACACGGUGGAUGCCUUGGCAGUCAGAGGCGAUGAAAGACGUAGUAACUUGCGAUAAGCCCAGAUUAGGUAGUAACAACCAUUUGAGUCUGGGAUUUCUGAAUGGGGAAACCCACGUGCAUAAGCACGUAUCCUUACCUGAAUACAUAAGGUAAGGAGGCGAACCGGGGGAACUGAACAUCUAAGUACCCCGAGGAAAAGAAAUCAACCGAGAUUCCGAAAGUAGCGGCGAGCGAAAUUGGACUAGCCCUUAAGCUUUACACGCGUUAGACGAACGGUCUGGAAAGUCCGACGAUACAGGGUGAUAGUCCCGUAGUUGACGACGUGUGUUCAGUGAAAUCGAGUAGGGCGGGACACGUGAUAUCCUGUCUGAAUAUGGGGGGACCAUCCUCCAAGGCUAAAUACUACUGACUGACCGAUAGUGAACCAGUACCGUGAGGGAAAGGCGAAAAGAACCCCUGUGAGGGGAGUGAAAUAGAACCUGAAACCGUGUACGUACAAGCAGUAGGAGCAGGCUUUGUCCUGUGACUGCGUACCUUUUGUAUAAUGGGUCAGCGACUUAUAUUCAGUGGCAAGGUUAACCAUCUAGGGGAGCCGUAGGGAAACCGAGUCUUAACUGGGCGUUCAGUCUCUGGAUAUAGACCCGAAACCAGGUGAUCUAGCCAUGGGCAGGUUGAAGGUUGAGUAACAUCAACUGGAGGACCGAACCGACUAAUGUUGAAAAUUAGCGGAUGACUUGUGGCUAGGGGUGAAAGGCCAAUCAAACCUGGAGAUAGCUGGUUCUCCCCGAAAGCUAUUUAGGUAGCGCCUCGGACGAAUACUACUGGGGGUAGAGCACUGUUAAGGCUAGGGGGUCAUCCCGACUUACCAACCCUUUGCAAACUCCGAAUACCAGUAAGUACUAUCCGGGAGACACACGGCGGGUGCUAACGUCCGUCGUGGAGAGGGAAACAACCCAGACCGCCAGCUAAGGUCCCAAAUUACUACUAAGUGGGAAACGAUGUGGGAAGGCUCAGACAGCCAGGAUGUUGGCUUAGAAGCAGCCAUCAUUUAAAGAAAGCGUAAUAGCUCACUGGUCGAGUCGGCCUGCGCGGAAGAUGUAACGGGGCUAAGUAGUAAACCGAAGCUGCGGCAAUAUACUUUUGUAUAUUGGGUAGGGGAGCGUUCUGUAAGCGGUUGAAGGUGUGUGGUAACGCAUGCUGGACGUAUCAGAAGUGCGAAUGCUGACAUGAGUAACGAUAAAGGGGGUGAAAAACCUCCUCGCCGGAAGACCAAGGGUUCCUGUCCAACGUUAAUCGGGGCAGGGUAAGUCGACCCCUAAGGCGAGGCCGAAAGGCGUAGUCGAUGGGAAACGGGUUAAUAUUCCCGUACUUCUUACAAUUGCGAUGGGGGGACGGAGAAGGCUAGGUGGGCCUGGCGACGGUUGUCCAGGUUCAAGUGCGUAGGCUUAAGAGUUAGGUAAAUCCGGCUCUUUUUAAGGCUGAGACACGACGUCGAGCACCUACGGGUGUGAAGUCAUUGAUGCCAUGCUUCCAGGAAAAGCCUCUAAGCUUCAGAUUGUAAGGAAUCGUACCCCAAACCGACACAGGUGGUCGGGUAGAGAAUACCAAGGCGCUUGAGAGAACUCGGGUGAAGGAACUAGGCAAAAUGGUACCGUAACUUCGGGAGAAGGUACGCUCUUGAUGGUGAAGUCCCUUGCGGAUGGAGCUGACGAGAGUCGCAGAUACCAGGUGGCUGCAACUGUUUAUUAAAAACACAGCACUGUGCAAAAUCGUAAGAUGACGUAUACGGUGUGACGCCUGCCCGGUGCCGGAAGGUUAAUUGAUGGGGUUAGACUUCGGUCGAAGCUCUUGAUCGAAGCCCCGGUAAACGGCGGCCGUAACUAUAACGGUCCUAAGGUAGCGAAAUUCCUUGUCGGGUAAGUUCCGACCUGCACGAAUGGCGUAAUGAUGGCCACGCUGUCUCCACCCGAGACUCAGUGAAAUUGAAAUCGCUGUGAAGAUGCAGUGUACCCGCGGCUAGACGGAAAGACCCCGUGAACCUUUACUACAGCUUGGCACUGAACAUUGACCCUACAUGUGUAGGAUAGGUGGGAGGCUUUGAAGCACGUACGCCAGUAUGUGUGGAGCCGUCCUUGAAAUACCACCCUUGUAGUGUUGAUGUUCUAACGUCGACCCCUUAUCGGGGUUGCGGACAGUGCCUGGUGGGUAGUUUGACUGGGGCGGUCUCCUCCCAAAGAGUAACGGAGGAGCACGAAGGUGGGCUAAUCACGGUUGGACAUCGUGAGGUUAGUGCAAUGGCAUAAGCCCGCUUGACUGCGAGAAUGACAAUUCGAGCAGGUGCGAAAGCAGGUCAUAGUGAUCCGGUGGUUCUGAAUGGAAGGGCCAUCGCUCAACGGAUAAAAGGUACUCCGGGGAUAACAGGCUGAUACCGCCCAAGAGUUCAUAUCGACGGCGGUGUUUGGCACCUCGAUGUCGGCUCAUCACAUCCUGGGGCUGAAGUCGGUCCCAAGGGUAUGGCUGUUCGCCAUUUAAAGUGGUACGCGAGCUGGGUUUAGAACGUCGUGAGACAGUUCGGUCCCUAUCUGCCGUGGGCGUUGGAAGAUUGAAGGGGGCUGCUCCUAGUACGAGAGGACCGGAGUGGACGAACCUCUGGUGUUCGGGUUGUGUCGCCAGACGCAUUGCCCGGUAGCUAAGUUCGGAAUCGAUAACCGCUGAAAGCAUCUAAGCGGGAAGCGAGCCCUGAGAUGAGUCUUCCCUGAUACUUUAAGUAUCCUAAAGGGUUGUCGGAGACUACGACGUUGAUAGGUCAGGUGUGUAAGUGCUGUGAGGCAUUGAGCUAACUGAUACUAAUUGCCCGUGAGGCUUAACCAU
rnacentral:rRNA from 1 species